rnacentral:rRNA from 1 species
GAUGAACGCUGGCGGCGUGCUUAACACAUGCAAGUCGAACGGAAAGGCCCAAGCUUGCUUGGGUACUCGAGUGGCGAACGGGUGAGUAACACGUGGGUGAUCUGCCCUGCACUUCGGUAUAAGCCUGGGAAACUGGGUCUAAUACCGGAUAGGACCACAUUUUGGCUGGUGUGGUGGAAAGUUUUUCGGUGUGGGGUGAGCUCGCGGCCUAUCAGCUUGUUGGUGGGGUAAUGGCCUACCAAGGCGUCGACGGGUAGCCGGCCUGAGAGGGUGUACGGCCACAAUGGGAUUCCGAUGGGGUCCAGAGACACAGGCGAAGCAGCAGAGGGGAAGAGAGGAAGGAGGGCGCAAGCCCGAGGAACCGACGCGCUGUGGGGGAUGAGGGGUUUCGGGUUGUAAACUCCUGUCCCUACUUGCGCAGCGCCUUUGUGACGGUACCUGGAGAAGAAGCCACGGCUAACUACGUG